CGUGUAGGCUGCUUGGAAAGUCGGAUGUGAAAGCCCUGGGCUCAACCUAGGAAGUGCAUUCGAAACUUCCAAGCUCGAGUUUCGGAGAGGGAAGGCGGAAUUCUCGGUGUAGAGGUGAAAUUCGUAGAUAUCGAGAGGAACAUCGGUGGCGAAGGCGGCCUUCUGGACGAUGACUGACGCUGAGACGCGAAAGCGUGGGGAGCAAACA
rnacentral:rRNA from 1 species